rnacentral:rRNA from 1 species
CGUAGGGUGCGAGCGUUAAUCGGAAUUACUGGGCGUAAAGCGUGCGCAGGCGGUUUGUUAAGAUAGGCGUGAAAUCCCCGGGCUCAACCUGGGAACUGCGCUUAUGACUGGCAAGCUAGAGUACGGCAGAGGGGGGUGGAAUUCCACGUGUAGCAGUGAAAUGCGUAGAGAUGUGGAGGAACACCAAUGGCGAAGGCAGCCCCCUGGGUCGAUACUGACGCUCAUGCACGAAAGCGUGGGUAGCAAACAGGAUUAGAUACCCUGGUAGUCCACGCCCUAAACGAUGUCAACUAGGUGUUGGAUGGGUAAAACCAUUUAGUACCGGAGCUAACGCGCGAAGUUGACCGCCUGGGGAGUACGGCCGCAAGGUUA